AAUCUUCAGUAUUUUGUUGGAUGAUUAAAUCAGAUGUACUAUUUGAUUUUUUAAGCUUACUCUUAGUCUCAUAUGCAACAAUGGCAGAAGCACUGUCAACAUCAUAGAGAACUCCUCCCUUGGACGAAGCAUCCUUUAUCAGAUCUUGAGACAAAUGCAAAGGGUGACUUCUCUGAUCAUGUGGUUCACCUUCCAUUAUCACGGCCACUUCAGAUUUUUGA
rnacentral:misc_RNA from 1 species